UACGUAGGUGGCAAGCGUUGUCCGGAUUUACUGGGCGUAAAGAGCGCGCAGGCGGUCGAUUAAGUCGAAUGUGAAAGCCCCCGGCUCAACUGGGGAGGGUCAUUCGAUACUGAUCGACUUGAAGGCAGGAGAGAGAAGUGGAAUUCCCGGUGUAGUGGUGAAAUGCGUAGAGAUCGGCAGGAACACCCAGGGGGAAACCAGUCGACUGGGCAGCACCUGACGCUGAGGUGCGAGAGCGUGGGGAGCGAACCGG
rnacentral:rRNA from 1 species